rnacentral:rRNA from 1 species
GAGGGGUGCAAGCGUUAUUCGGAUUUACUGGGCGUAAAGGGUGUGUAGACGGUGUAUUAAGUCCGCUGUCAAAUUCUCCGGCUUAACCGGAGGUCGGCGGUGGAAACUGGUACGCUAGAGGGUGGAAGAGAGAAGUGGAAUUCUCGGAGUAGCGGUAAAAUGCGUAGAUCUCGAGAGGAACACCAAUGGCGAAGGCAGCUUCUUGGUCCACUCCUGACGUUGAGGCACGAAAGCGUGGGUAGCAAACAGGAUUAGAUACCCUGGGUAGUCCACGCCGUAAACGAUGAUCACUAGAUGUUGGUUUGGCUUAGCUGGAUCAGUAUCGUAGCUAACGCGUUAAGUGAUCCGCCUGGGGAUUACGGUCGCAAGACUA